rnacentral:ribozyme from 1 species
ACCGAACGAAAGAAAGAAAGAAUGAAGUGAAAAGAACCACGAGUGAACGGUUAGACAGAGAAAUUAAGGUGUAGUUGUGUCUUUUUCAUUUGUUCUUUUGCUUCUUUUCCCUUUCCAUUCGUGCUUUUCAUUACAAUGGAAAGGAAAAGAAGUGAAAAGAACAAUGGGAAAAAGAUCACCUCAUAAAAUAGAAUGUUGUGUUGGGUUCUUUGUUCUUGUUCAUUCCGUUUAAUUGUAAUGGAACGAAGAGAA